rnacentral:lncRNA from 1 species
CCCAUCUGCUUGCCGAGUAUCUGCAACUUGAAUUUUCACAGAUAAAGAAUUGACUGUACAUUUCUGACACUUGGACUCCCUGAACCAGAGUGUUCAUUUCUCUGUCCUGGGGCCAUAUCCUCGUUUGGUUAAUUGCAUCCCCUUUUCUCAGAUAUUUUUGAGGACUUCCAAAUGGUUCCAGUCUUUUUGCUCAAUCUGUUCCGAACUGGUACACAAUACUUUCAAACUGGUAUCUAGGACCAUAUGACACAGUUAACUAGCUAGCUGCUUUUCAUACUUGAGAUAUUUGUGCUUUGGAGAUAUAACUGGGCUUUUGCAUUUUAAGUUUUGUAGGUGCUUUAAUAUUUGUGUGUAGAAUGCUGUAAUCUCAUAAAUGAAGAUGGUACCGCUGACCAGUUCCUUGCCUUCUGUUCCUUUCUUGUGGAAUUCAUCAUUUAUUACCUCUAAUUAUUUCAAGGAGAAGAUACGUACAUCUGCCACCAAUUACCCACGUCUAUAUAUCAUGGUUCACAGAAUCAAGACAUUAAAACUGCAUACAGGGAAGACCAACAACAAAAAAAAGCCUUGAAGAUAAGUAUGCUGCAUGCUGCAUCAGUACAUAGUGAUCAGAGGCAAUGCUAAGGAUGGUGGAGAAAAG